rnacentral:rRNA from 1 species
GAUGAACGCUGGCGGCGUGCCUAAUACAUGCAAGUCGAGCGAACAGAUAAGGAGCUUGCUCCUUUGACGUUAGCGGCGGACGGGUGAGUAACACGUGGGUAACCUACCUAUAAGACUGGGAUAACUCCGGGAAACCGGGGCUAAUGCCGGAUAACAUUUAGAACCGCAUGGUUCUAAAGUGAAAGAUGGUUUUGCUAUCACUUAUAGAUGGACCCGCUCUGUAUUAGCUAGUUGGUAAGGUAACGGCUUACCAAGGCAACGAUACGUAGCCGACCUGAGAGGGUGAUCGGCCACACUGGAACUGAGACACGGUCCAGACUCCUACGGGAGGCAGCAGUAGGGAAUCUUCCGCAAUGGGCGAAAGCCUGACGGAGCAACGCCGCGUGAGUGAUGAAGGUCUUCGGAUCGUAAAACUCUGUUAUUAGGGAAGAACAAAUGUGUAAGUAACUGUGCACGUCUUGACGGUACCUAAUCAGAAAGCCACGGCUAACUACGUG